AGCUAUAAGUUCUCUGUAGCGCAGCUAACGCAUUAAGCACUCCGCCUGGGGAGUACGACCGCAAGGUUGAAACUCAAAGGAAUUGACGGGGGCCCGCACAAGCGGUGGAGCAUGUGGUUUAAUUCGAAGCAACGCGAAGAACCUUACCAGGUCUUGACAUACUCGUGCUAUCCUUAGAGAUAAGGAGUUCCUUCGGGACACGGGAUACAGGUGGUGCAUGGUUGUCGUCAGCUCGUGUCGUGAGAUGUUGGGUUAAGUCCCGCAACGAGCGCAACCCUUAUUACUAGUUGCCAUCAUUAAGUUGGGCACUCUAGUGAGACUGCCGGUGAUAAACCGGAGGAAGGUGGGGAUGACGUCAAAUCAUCAUGCCCCUUAUGACCUGGGCUACACACGUGCUACAAUGGAUGGUACAACGAGUCGCCAACCCGCGAGGGUGCGCUAAUCUCUUAAAACCAUUCUCAGUUCGGAUUGCAGGCUGCAACUCGCCUGCAUGAAGUCGGAAUCGCUAGUAAUCGCGGAUCAGCACGCCGCGGUGAAUACGUUCCCGGGCCUUGUACACACCGCCCGUCACACCACGGAAGUUGGGAGUACCCA
rnacentral:rRNA from 1 species